rnacentral:rRNA from 6 species
AUCCGGGUUGCGGACAGUGUCUGGUGGGUAGUUUGACUGGGGCGGUCUCCUCCUAAAGAGUAACGGAGGAGCACGAAGGUUGGCUAAUCCUGGUCGGACAUCAGGAGGUUAGUGCAAUGGCAUAAGCCAGCUUGACUGCGAGCGUGACGGCGCGAGCAGGUGCGAAAGCAGGUCAUAGUGAUCCGGUGGUUCUGAAUGGAAGGGCCAUCGCUCAACGGAUAAAAGGUACUCCGGGGAUAACAGGCUGAUACCGCCCAAGAGUUCAUAUCGACGGCGGUGUUUGGCACCUCGAUGUCGGCUCAUCACAUCCUGGGGCUGAAGUAGGUCCCAAGGGUAUGGCUGUUCGCCAUUUAAAGUGGUACGCGAGCUGGGUUUAGAACGUCGUGAGACAGUUCGGUCCCUAUCUGCCGUGGGCGCUGGAGAACUGAGGGGGGCUGCUCCUAGUACGAGAGGACCGGAGUGGACGCAUCACUGGUGUUCGGGUUGUCAUGCCAAUGGCACUGCCCGGUAGCUAAAUGCGGAAGAGAUAAGUGCUGAAAGCAUCUAAGCACGAAACUUGCCCCGAGAUGAGUUCUCCCUGAGACUUAG